CAAUCUUUGUGCGACACAACGUAAAUUACUGUUCUUGCCCAUUUCCGAAACCCUAGAUCCCCCUCUUAGUCAAUUUCAAGGUAAAAUUUACGAAAAUGUCUAUUUCUUUUAUUUUUUAAUCGAGGGUGUAUUUGGAAUUUAAUUACAGAUGGUGUCGGACGCAAGCAAGAAGAAGGCAGCGCAGAAGAAGGCGGCAGCGGCGGCCAAGAGAGGUGGCAAGGCCGCGGCUCCUGCCUCCUCAUCGAAGACGGCUGAAAAUGGAAGUAAAGUUGAUAAUUUGGCGAAUGAGGUCGAAGCGCUUCAGAUAUCCGAUCGGACAUGUACCGGAGUUCUGUGCUCUCAUCCGCUUUCCAGAGAUAUUCGGGUUAGUUGUCAGAUCCAAUUUCAGUUUUGGUUCUGAUGAAUUUCUUUUUUCUUUAUUUUUUUAAUUUCAGAUUUCUUGGUUUGUAUUGUUUACAUUUGAACCCUUAAUUUUUCCUUUUUUUUUCUCGAG
rnacentral:lncRNA from 1 species